ACGCAACGCGGAUAUCUCAUCCCGGCACACCGCUAGCGCACGAUUUUGUUCCAGGACGAGACGUUCCCAAUCCGAGGCGCCCGCUGCCUCCAUAGUACGGCGAAGUAAUCUGUUACGAAGCGCUGACGGAGACAAGCGCGGGCGAGCGAAGAGAUGGCGUGUGACCGAACACAGGACGAGAAUCGACUCGGGACCGAGCAGCACUGUCUUGGGCAUCUUACAUUGCGGACAUUGCAGUUUAUUGCUCUGGCCACAUCUGAAGUCCUCAUGCCUCCCUGCAGCAGGCCUAUGGUGUGCCUAUGGCACGCAGGAAGAGUCCUGGUGGUUCCAAGCUUCUUCCAUUUACGGAUGACGGAGGCCACUGUGCUCACUGGGACCUUCAAUGCUGCAGAAAUGUUUCUGUACCCUUCCCCAGAUCUGUGCCUCGAUACAAUCCUGUCUCGGAGGAC
ensembl:lncRNA